CAACUUCCGGUCCUCAGAUGGUUCUCAGGAAAAACAAAAUCGAAUGAGAUUACUUUCGAAAUGGGCGUCUUUGACGUUGUUUCCUAAAUGUAUCUAGAUUCCGUAGUUUUGCAGAUCAGAGACUUCACGAGUUUACGUUCUAGCUAAUGCCAUAGCCAACCAAGGAGCACCUGUCUUUUCCCAGAUAACUGAAGGCGUCUGGAUAUGAUCUGCAGUUGCAGAUGAACUUCUUGUCCAAGCUCUCCUGGAAGUUGACAACAUGGAGAAGAGUUGGGACAGCAUAGAUGAAGCAGGAGACUACUCAACAGAUGAAACUAGAAAUAUACCAAGCCAUUCAUGUCAGAAAAUCACUGAACACAAGGGAGCAGAAGGGGGAGAAGAGGUCCUGACUUACAAAACAUAUAAGAAGAAUAUGGCCGAAUUUAAGGUGAAGAAUGAAGAUGACUCUAGUCCUUUUUCGGACAUCCACAGUCAUUCAAAGAUCAUGGCUCAAGAUCUUCAACGAGGGGCAACAGAAGUCAUCCAAGAUAAGUGUUCCCCUUUCUUAGAAGGAUUAUGCCCUGUGGGCCUAACCAAUGUUCAGGAAAGUUGUAUUUUGACUUCUGAAUUUGAUGUAAAAAAGAAGACCGGUAGAGAUUCUGCUGCAGUGGGGAUCGGUACUAUAGUUUCUUUCUCCCCCUUUUCAAGCAAUCUGUCAAAAAAUAUAAAGGGAACUGUCACACAGUCAACCAUAGACCUUGAGUUACAGCAAUCUUCUUUAUCAGACUCUUCUCUAAGUGACCCCGGACAAUAUUCAAGAGCGGUAGUGGAUGAGAAAGCCUAUGCUGAUGUAUCCCAUCAAAUGUUACCACUUUCGGAAACCAAAAAAGGAAAAGAGAAAAUAUCCUUUCAUUCACUUUUGCCUGUGAUGGAAAAGCAACAAAAGCGAAAAGUUGGUCAGCCAUAUAAGAAAACUCUAGUGAAAAUGGCUAAACUUUCAGCAAUUGCCCAAGAAUGGGAUUCAGAUGCCACAGAAAUAUCCAGGGUGACUCGCAAUAAGGAUAAUCGAACACCCUCAUGCAAACAAACAGAUGAGAAGAAAAAGGAUGAAAUGUUAGAAUUUCCCCCAACUACCUCAAGUGCCACAUGCUUUGGAUGCAAUUCAACAUCUGAUUCUUCAAACUACCUUACUAUUUCACAUUCAGAUGACAUAAUAUCUAAAUCUCAAAUAACUGGACAAAGCAUUUCUAAGGAAUUUAUCCAACCGCCCAGAGGACAGAGAACUUCAAAGACUACACAAAAAGCAGAAGAAGAAGUCCCGGCGCUGAAAUUGACCACUGCCGCAGAGGGGAAAGAUUCUCCUAUAGUACAAGCUCUGGCACAAAACACAUUGGUGCUGUCUGAAACUGUCUGCUCAUUUGAUGAUAACACAGAGGAUGCAUUGAAAGUACAAAAGAUACCUGGAAAAAAUACAGCAAUAACGUCCAAAGCAGGAAAUAGAAGGACUCAGGCGUUCAAAAGAAACAGAAUGACUCCGAGCAGCCUCUUGACCACUCAGUCACAGAGUAGCAGCGCUACACCCCAAGAAAAUUGUAAUUUGGGAGUCUCUCAAGAUGCAACUCCACUACAAUCAUCUGACAUAAAAAUGGAGCCUAAAUACUUGUAUAUAAAAACAGAGCCCACUGGUGUCUUGGAUGUCAAGAACAAUUUGAAGGAACACCGAAAAAGAGAACCCUCCAAAAACUUUACAGAAGGGAAUGGUAAAAGUCCUGGUGUGAUGUCUAGAUGCUUUGACUUGUCUAUCACUCAAAAAGACCAGGGGGCACCAAGUGACAUAAGGAGGGAAAUCAAAUAUGUCACUGCUAACACAUCAGCUGUAGGAAACCAGGGGGAAAUGACUCCGAGAACUCAAGCUCUCUCAGGACUGAAGAGUAUUGAGGAUGUGCUGAAAUUGAAGCGGAAAGCUGGUCGACCAUUCAAGAAAAAGACAUUGUUUAAAAUGGCUAAACUGCUAGCGAUAGCACAGGAAGGUGGAUCUAAUGAUACGGAGAACUGUGGCAUGAUUGAAGAGUGUGUUCCAAAAUUCCAGCAGGUCCCUGCCUAUCACUCCCCCAAGUCAAAAGUAAAGAAGAUGGAUACAAGAACCGAGGCAUCAAAUUCACCUACAAGCACCUCAAGAAAAUCCAGCAGAACGUGUAAAGCGACCCCAAAAACUGUUCAAAAAAUGCAAAUCCUCACACACACGCCCACCCAACCAGUGUUACCAGUUUCAUCCUAUCUUAUUGAACCCAUUCUCAAAUUGGAGGACACAACUCUUAUCUCACCGUUGUCUGUCAUUCCUCUAUGUAGUGCAGAUAUUUCCCCUCAACAGGAAAGUCACAGAGGUGGAAAACCCCUGAAGAAAAACACACCAUUUUACAAAAACAUGACCACUGCAGUCCCACAUCCUCCAAUAUUUGCACUAGAUUCCAAGGCGCUUGCUGAGAUUGCCUCUACAGGGAAUGACAAAGAAACAAAGAAAGACAUUGGAUCCAAAAGUAAAUGCAAACGGGUGCCUAGAACUCGUGGUGUAUCAGAAUUACCGUGUACAAAUGGAAUUCCUCAGGGAGAUAUACAUACCCAGACUAAUAGGGAUGAGGUGUAUUCCAAGACUUCAGCACCUACAGUGCCACACUCCCAGAAAUCACGGAAACGUGGGGUUCAACAUAAAAAAGGUACAGAAAAGGCACUUGUCCUAUUAUCUGAUCAAACUGCCCUUCCUGUUUCAGAUUGCCAGUUGCAGGUGCAAAAUCACAGUGCAUCUCAGGAAACGCCUUUACUGCCAUCAAAGAUUGAGACAGAAUCUGACACUGUAUACCCGACACCGAGAACGGUUACAAAGAAUAUUCCAAAGAUGUGUAAGGCAAGAAACAAACCUUUACUGAAAGUUGAGAAAGCACAGUUGCCAACUCUGGAUCCUUCCCUUGUAGUCGAACAUAUGCGUCCCGAUGUGCCAGAAGUGGAUCAAAUGAGACAAGUGGAAGCAGUGAUAGAGUCAGUAAUUAAAGAUGUUCACCAACCACUGGAACAUGUGGAUCAAAGAAACAAAAAUAAAGAAGAAGCCAGCAAUGUUUCUGCAUCAACUCUGGAUUCUUCACUUGGAAUGGAACAUAUGCGUCCUGAUGUGCCAGAAGUGGAUCAUACAAGACAAAUGGAAGCAGUGAUGGAGUCAGUGACCGAGGAUCUACACAAAAAAGAGGUCAGUGAUGUUUCUGCAUCAGCAUACUCAACCUUUCCUUCCUCAGAUAACCUGUUUGAACAACAUGACCAUAGUACAUUAUCUCAAUCGCCUUUGCUGACAUUAGAAAUAAAGACAGAAUCGGGUAGAAUCAAGAAUGCCCUACCCAAAAAGUCGAAAAUAUGCAUGAAAGAGAAACAUACGUCAAAAGGCCUAUUGAAAAAUCAUAAGAAAGCAUCUAUGCCAACUUCAGGUCCUUCAUCUGACACAGUGCAUGCGCCAUCCAAAAGAGUUAAGAAGAAUUCCACUACUUGUCAAGAAAGAAAAAGAUCUUCACAGAAAGUUGAGAAAGCACAGGUGUCAACUCUGGAUAUAAACUACUCUGGAGAGAAACAUAGAAGUCCUGAAAUCCCACAAAUGGAUGAAAUGAGACAUGUGGAAGCAUUUAUAGAUGCAGUGAUUGAGGAUCUCCACAAACCACUCAAACCUAAGGAUCAACAAAAAAAGUUAAAAGAAGAGACUGAUAAUGUUGCUCCAUUAGAACCAACAACCUUUCCUGCCUUGGAUAACCUGUUGGAACAGCAUAACCAUAGUAAAUUACCUCAAUCUUAUUUUCUGUCAUCAAGAAAGAGAAAAUCAGGCUUGAAACAUGCCGUUCCCAAAACGGCAACAAAGAAUAAGUCAAAAGCAUGCUUUAAAGGGAAACUCUCUGAAACUGAUAAGAAAGCAGCUGUACUAACUUCCGAUCCUUCUAUUGGAGGUGAAGAUGGAUAUCUUGAAAUGCCUCCCCACCUUAAUCAAGCAGAGAAAGGAGGAAAGAGUGAUGGAAAGAACAAUAAUGAUGUAGUAAAGCAUGAAAUAUCAAUGACAGAUGACCAUUUGGAAACAGCAGCCCACAAACCACAUCAGCGUAAAGGGCCAAGAAAGAAGCUAAAAAAAGAAGACUGUAGUGUUUCCAAACCAGAUCAAGUAGAAUCCACUAUCUCAGACAGCCAGCUAAAACAGCAUGACCACAAUGCAUUAGAGCAUGUUUCUUUGCUAGCAUCAGAGACAAAGACAGAAUCAGGAAUGGAACAUAUCAUACCUGAAAUGGCAACAACAAAUAAGUCAAAAUCAUCCAGGAAAAGAGACCUCCCUAUAAAAGCACCCCCAGCAAACGCUAAAAGAGCAGCUAUGCUAACUUCAAAUCCUUCUCUUGGUGCAGAAGUUGGAUGUCUUGAAAUGCCUCCCCACCUUAUCCAUGCAAAGCAAGGAGGAAAGUGUGAUGGGAAAAGCAAUAACAAUGUAGUUAAACAUAAAAAAGAAACAGUGACAUCAGUGAUGGAAAAACAUAUGGAAACAGAGCGCAAACCACGUAUGGGGUCAAAAAAGAAUCUGAAAGAAGAGGACAGCAAUGUUUCCAUAUCAGAACAAGCAGCAACGCUUACCUCAGAUAAACAUCCCAACCAAGUUUCUUCACUGGCAUCAGAGAUCAAGUCAGAAUCUAACAGUGGAUGUGUCACACCCACACAAAAAAAGUAUAUUUCAAAGGCAUACAAGAAAAGGAAGAUGACUCCAACCCCACCAAGUUCAAAACUUUCUCUUGGAAUGGAAUAUGGAUACUCUGAAAUGGCUACCAAUUUCACACAUGUGGACCAGGUUCAGAAUAUUCUUGAUACUUAUAAAAUCUCCAAAGUGAGAAAAAAAAUCACUGGAUCAAGCCGUCCAAUAUCCAAUCGAAGAAAUUCCAGACUGCCCUACACAUCUAAUUCACAUAUCACAACUGAGUCGAUGCAAGAUCAAGUAAUUCUAUCGGUUGCAUCAGAUCUCACCAAUAACCCUACCAGUCCUGUAUCAAUAACAGUGUCCUCAAUUGCAGUGCAAGGACAGAUUACUGAAUUACUGAGUGCUGACUGUACAGAGAAACGGUCACAUAAAAUGAGGACUCCUAAGACGAUAACACCUCAGAGACCAAAAGGCACAGGUCUUGAUAAGAAUAUCACAGAUGACAACAUGUCUCUCAAAUUCUUGUCAACAUUUGUAAAAGAGGAACUCAUUGAGGAAGAAAAAAGCCCAGAAAAUAGGGGGAAAGAAGACGGCAAAGGGAAGAAAGGCAAAAUUCUCAAAAUAGAUGAUGUGAAUCCACAAAGUAAACACAGCCAAUCUCAGGUGAAGGAUGGCAAUGCAUUAACAGAUGACAAAUUAAUUUUACAAGUCCCUAUAGAUGAAGCAGGGUGCUCUAUGUCUAUUGCAAUAGACACAAUCAGUACUGUGAUUCCAAAACGUAAAAAAGGUGGUCGUUUUUCCAAGAGAUUGCAAAAAAUGUCAUCUACCACCAACGUUCCCAGUGAACAGCAAUGGAUUAAUAUGUCCCCUGAAAAAACAUCUCUGUGUGUCAGCAAUAUAUCAGAAAUACAAAGAAAGCGAAAAGUUGACACCAGAAGCACUGAUUUUGUUAAUGCAGAUAUAGAAGUCCUAAAUCCUAAAGAUGAUCUUAGUGAUAGCUCUGUAUUAGUGGACUCGUCCUUACUGGAGAAUCAGAGAAUGAAGGACAAGGGUAAGAAAAAAUCCAAGACAAUUACGGAAGAACCGACAGUGGCCACAUCAGUUGUAAAAGAGAUGGUGGGGCAAGAUUUUCAGACCACCAUAACAGCACUGAAAAAUAAACAAGGUCGGCCAUUCAAGAAAAGAACUUUGAGAAUGGCAAAACGGCUGUCAUGUGGAGAGCAGAAGUCAAACACUAGCGGGGAACUUUCUGUGAAUAAGACACUGAGCUGUAAAUCAAAGGGAACUUCUAAGGGAGGGAAAAAGCGCAAUUUGAACCCGGCAUCGUCAACCUUAAUAAGGCGCACUAAAGCAUCCAAGGCAAUGAAGAUUGAAGACAUUGCUCUUAAACAAGAGCAAGAUGACAUAUGGGAGAUCAUUGAUGUAUCCAGCAACAUUUUCUCCUCACAAACUGUGACUAUUUCCCCCAGUAUUUCAGGGCAAGAAUUUGAAACCUCCAUAUCUUCAGAAACAAUGUUCUCUGUUGAUGCAGGGCCGAAACAAGGAAUCCAGCAAAUUGAAUCUACCCAAUUAACACCCCAUCUCACAAAAUUACCUCAUAAAGUGAAUCGCGUGAAGAAGAGACGCAGGCGAAAUAAAACUGGAUGGGCUACAAAAGUUAAAUCCAAACAACCACUCUCCAAAGUGAACUCCGGGGAUAGGCUUGACGUUUUGAUUCAGUCUACCAUUGACAACACUGGACUCAACACUAGCCUCUGUAAUUCGUUAAUGGAAAAAUACACAUUGGAAAGUGUUGAACAAGAAGAAUGUAGAGCACAAGAAGUGAAAGCAGUAGCAAACGAUUACAAUGUAGUUAAUGUUAGGGAUAUCAACUGUGGAGAUCAACUCCUAACAGCUCGUGCUAAAUUACAGCAUUCAAGUGUACUUCAACAACAUUUUAAGACAAGGAAACCAAUGUCAUGCCACUUCUGUGGUCGCUCAUUUCGUCACAUAUCAGCAUACACAAUUCACAAGCGCAUUCACACAGGGGAGAAGCCUUACAGGUGCCAGAAGUGCGGCAAGAGCUUUGCUCAGCUCUCCAAGCUCAACUCGCACUCAAACAUCCACAAACAACAUGGACUCAUGCAAUGCCCAUGUUGCGUCACUCAGUCUCCAAACAAAGAUGACUUGAUUGAUCAUUUAAAGAUCCACAUGAAGGGCACCAAGCGGUUCAGUUUAAUUAAUAAAACGAGAAGAGCCAGAGAAAUUCAGAUUCAAUCUUGCGCUGAUUAUAUAGAUUCCCCAGUCUCUCUUAAUGGCAGGAAAACCCUUAGAUGCUCCACUUGUUUCAAAUAUUUUUUCAGCAAGGCCACAUUGAAGAUGCACCUGCAAACACACAGUGGAGUGAGUCGUUUCACCUGCAAAGUCUGUGGCAAGAUGUUUAGCAAGUUCUUAAGUUUCAAUGCACAUGAAAAAACACACUGGCCUGUUAAACCGUAUGCCUGCUCUGUGUGUGGAAAAGGCUUUGUUCUGCUUAGGGAGCUUAAAACCCACUCUCAUAUGCACUCAGGAGAGAUGCCUUUCUUCUGUAACCACUGUGGUCAGGCCUUUAGCGUCUUCUCAUCCUUGCGCACACAUCAAGUCUCCAAAGUGUGUUUUGAGGCUAGAUAUGAAGGAGAUGGAAACAAGGUUGACAUUGAGGGGUUCCUGGUGGAGCAAAGGACUGAUGGGCAGAUUAAUACCCCGAUGUACUUUAAAUGUCAGAUUUGCAAACAACUUAAUCGUCACUGGUGUCAGUACAUUCUUCAUCUACAAACGCACACUAAUAACAGGCAAAACCUUUGUGACGUCUGUGGACAACGGUAUGACCAGGUCACGGAAUUAUGUGUUCAUUGUAAAGUUUGUUGCAAAUCAAGUGGAGAGGAGAGGGCAUGCAUUUCGUCCUUGUCACAGGUCUGGUAUGAACCCCAAUCUCUGCAGAAUCAGACGCCUGAGCCUGAAAUUGAUUCUCUGUACAAUGAUAGUCAGGAAAUGUUAUCUUUGGAUGACCAGCAUCCCCAAUGUAAGGAGCCUGAGCCUCUGUCACCUCCGGAAACUAUGGAGGAGUAUUCCUCAGAUGUGCUUCCACAAAACCCCAAACCUGCUUGCCAGACCCCAGACCCCAGACCCCAUCCUUCUCCCUCAAACUCCAUGUGUGUAAGUCCUGCUCUAUCUUCCCCUUCUGUAAUGAGCUGUAAUUCCGUACGUGUGGUUCAACAGCCUACAGGUGUUCGCUCUUGUUUACAGACCCAUGCCCCCUUUGACAGGUAUUCAUGUGGACAAUGUGGAAAAUCCUUUAACCAGUGGAACAAGCUCUGGUUGCAUCAGGGACUACACAGAGAAAAACGCUGUAGCUUCUCAUGCAAUCAGUGCAAUUUAGAGUUUCGCUUCUUUGGCUCCUAUAGGGAGCACAUGCAGGAACAUGCAGCACAGAGACCCUAUGGUUGUCCAUUAUGUCCCAAAACCUAUGUCAUUGAAGAAGACCUAAAUACCCAUCUGUGUGAAAAUCACCAGCCGCGUGAAAGCCUGAAAUGUGACACGUGUGGAAAGGAGUUCACCGGUUUCAGAAACUUGGAGAAACAUCGUCUUUUACACAGAGGCGCUAGCUCUCACUACUGUCUCCCUUGCAUGCUCCCAUUUCCUAGUAACCAAGCCUUACAGAAUCACUUGAAGGCUCACGAAGCCCGCCCUGUUAUCCCUCUCCCUGAAGGGCCAUUGGAACCACUUCUAUUUCCAUAUCGCUGUGGAAAAUGUAAUGCCAGAUUUACAACCACAGACUUGCUCCAAGCCCAUCAGGUUUGCCAUCUUAUUGGGGGGAAAAAAGCAUAUAGCAGCAGUUCAGCUAAUUAUGUUUCUGCAUCCCUUACCUCCAAGCUUUCAAACAAGCCAAGACAGAGAGUCACGCUGCUAUCCCCUCAGACAAUACCAAUUCCUCCGUUAAAGAAAAGGAACAUGUAUAGGUAUCCUAACCCUGAUCGUCUUUAUGUCGUACCUAAAAUAUCCUCACAGCCAUCAGUCAUUAUUUCAGACACAGAAGAAGAGCCUCAAGAGCUUCUAAACAUUAGCUUAUCCUCAGUCUAUGACACACCCUGUAACACUGUGUCUCUUGAACAUGAAGGGCAAAUCAUCCCUAGCAAUGAUUGUUGUGAGGCAAGCAACUCCGAUUUACCUCAGCCCUCAUAUCCCUCCUCAUGUGUUCUUACUGAUGAACCGACUCAAUGUACACCAAAGCCCCAAACAGACACCACACACAUGCCGACACAUGAACCACCCUCACCCUGUCCCCUGGAUAAAGGUCCUCAGAAUGCACCAGCCCAAAUACGAGACAAGUCUAAGGGUGAUCAUGAUGCUUUCUUUAGAGCCUCAACAUUUGUGAUACCAAGUGGCAAAAAGUGGGGGUAUGAUGCCUUUGAGUGUGCGGAUUGUUGGGUAACAUUUAGUGACAUCUCAGAGCUACAUGAGCAUUACAUACAUCAUGCCAGGGGGGUGAAGUGAAUGUCAAUACAUAUUUUCACAAUUCCACUAUUGUAUAUAAUUGCUUUUGAUGAUAUUGGUCAUUUACAUCUGAAGAGUACGAUAUCUGUUUCUGAGUUAACCAUAAUUGUCUUAAUAGCUAUAGCAAUGGUUAAAGGAAUAAUCCACACAAAACCCCUAAUUACUAUGAUUUACAUUGUUAAAUAACGCCUUUUGCAUUUUGUCGUUAUAAGGCAGGAAGCAACAUAUGAUAAUUGUUGUAGGAAUCUGUUGGAGCUCUCUCUGGACAGGAUUGCUGGCUAGCUACAAAACAUAGCUACACACGAUAAUAUCAAAAUCAAUAUCAGCAUAUGAAGUAGCUAGUCAGCUGUAAAAUCCCUGAAACACACUGUGCUAUUCAUUUUAGGAGUUACAAUCUCACCAUGUUCAACCUGGUUGAGAUUAUCUUGCUCAAAAUUGUGAGUGGGGUUGCUAUGGCAACGCAAUGACCCUGCCUGCACUGCGAAGGUCGCUUUGCUUUGCGUGAUGGUAGUUAAAGGACAUUGAUCUGACAGUGCACUUUGAGUUUGAAUGAAAUAUAUACAGUGCCUUGCGAAAGUAUUCGGCCCCCUUGAACUUUGCGACCUUUUGCCACA